GAUGAAGAACGCAGCGAAAUGCGAUAAGUAAUGUGAAUUGCAGAAUUCAGUGAAUCAUCGAAUCUUUGAACGCACAUUGCGCCCGCCAGUAUUCUGGCGGGCAUGCCUGUCUGAGCGUCAUUUCAACCCUCAUGCCCCUAGGGCGUGGUGUUGGGGAUCGGCCAAAGCCCGCGAGGGACGGCCGGCCCCUAAAUCUAGUGGCGGACCCGUCGUGGCCUCCUCUGCGAAGUAGUGAAAUUCCGCAUCGGAGAGCGAUGAGCCCCUGCCGUUAAACCCCCAACUUUCCAAGGUUGACCUCAGAUCAGGUAGGAAUACCCGCUGAACUUAAGCAUAUCAAUAAGCGGAGGA
rnacentral:misc_RNA from 1 species